rnacentral:rRNA from 1 species
GGCGUAAAGCGCSGUGCAGGGUGGUUUCUGUAAAGUUGGAUGUUAAUCUUCCGGCCUAACCGGGAGCGGUCAUUUCAAUACUGCAGGACUUGAGGGCAGAAGAGGGGGRGUGGAAUUGCCGGUGUAGUGGUGAAAUGCGUAGAUAUCGGCAGGAACACCUGUGGCGAAAGCGGCCCCCUGGUCUGCUCCUGACACUCAGACGCGAAAGCUAGGGUAGUGAACGGGAUUAGAAACCCCGGUAAUCCUAGCCGUAAACGAUGGAUGCUAGGUGUAGGUGGUAUUGACCCCAUCUGUGCCGAAGCUAACGCGUUAAGCAUCCCGCCUGGGGACUACGGCCGCAAGGUUAAAACUCAAAGGAAUUGACGGGGACCCGCACAAGCAGCGGAGCGUGUGGUUUAAUUCGAUGCUACACGAAGAACCUUACCCAGGUUUGACAUACAGGUAGUAGUGAAGCGAAAGCGGAACGAUCCUUCGGGAAGCCUGAACAGGUGCUGCAUGGCUGUCGUCAGCUCGUGCCGUGAGGUGUUUGGUUAAGUCCACUAACGAGCGCAACCCCUGUCGUCAGUUACAUGUGUCUGGCGAGACUGCCGGUCUUAAACCGGAGGAAGGUGGGGAUGACGUCAAGUCAGCAUGGCCUUUAUAUCUGGGGCUACACACACGCUACAAUGGCCGGUACAAUGGGUUGCCAACCCGCGAGGGGGAGCUAAUCCUAUAAAGCCGGUCUCAGUUCGGAUUGUAGGCUGCAACUCGCCUGCAUGAAGCCGGAGUUGCUAGUAAACGCGCGUCAGCUAUAGUGCGUUGAAUACGUUCCCGGGUCUUGUACACACCGCCCGUCACGUCAUGGGAGCUGGUAACACCUGAAGCCGGUGCGCUAACCGCAAGGAGGCAGCCGUCGAGGGUGGGACUGGUGACUGGGAYKAAGUCGUAACAAGGUAGC